rnacentral:rRNA from 1 species
AGUGAACGCUGGCGGCGUGCCUAACACAUGCAAGUCGAACGGCAAGACAGUAAGAUCGUGCUCUUACGGGUGGCGAGAGGCGGGCGGGUGAGGAAUACAUCGGCCCCUUCUUUUUCGGGGAGGAUAACGUAAGGAAAGUUACGCUAAUACAGCAUAUGCUGUACCGGUGAGUGCAGUGGAUAUUCGCAGCUUGCGCGAUUGAAUGAGCCGAUGUCGGAUUAGCUAGUUGGGGGGGUAAGGGCCCACCAAGGCGACGAUUCGUGGCUGGCCUGAGAGGAGGAUCGGCCACACUGGAACUGAGACACGGUCCAGACGCCUACGGGAGGCAGCAGUGGGGAAUUUUGGACAAUGGGCGAAAGCCUGACCCAGCCAGACCGCGUGGGUGAAGAAGGCCUUCGGGUCGUAAAGCCCUGUUUUUGGGAAAGAACAGCUGCAGAAUAAUACGUCGCUGUUCUGACGGUACCCAAUGAAUAAGCACCGGCUAACUACGUG